GCGAAAGAUUAAUCCUUUUUAACCCUGACUUCCCGUGAGGAAUCAAAAAAGCAACAACAAACACUCUAAUUUUUUCAUGACG
rnacentral:snoRNA from 1 species